rnacentral:rRNA from 1 species
UUCUUUUUGGAGAGUUUGAUCCUGGCUCAGGACGAACGCUGGCGGCGUGCCUAAUACAUGCAAGUCGAGCGGACCUCAUAGGAAGCUUGCUUUUUAU